GAGAGAGGGUGAGGAGAGGGUGAACUGCGUGCCGGACCAGUCCAUGUCACUGGGGGCCGCCUCAGAGUCCUGUCUGCUGAUACUUGAGGAAGGGAUGCUAUUUAGGACCUGAACACAAUGGCCGUCAUACAGGCUCCUGACUGUUCCCUUGGGACCCUCCACCUUAUCUGCUUAACAAGCCCACUUGUGCUGGCAUCUGAAGAGCAGGCAAUCUCCUGAGACUGAAUUCUUCACUUGUGGGGUCUAAUGCCUACUCCAGGUGGUGAGUGUCAGAACAGGAUUGAAUUGUAGGACCCCCUGUUGGUGUCAGUGACUCACUGUUGGAACCAGGUAGCUUCCAGUUUUUAUUCACCAGAUCCAAGAACUGGUGCACCGAAGUGGUGGUUUGGUGUAAGCCUUCCUGACCUACUCAGAAAUUCCCUGAUGGACCCUGACCGCGAUGACCAACACCCAGACGCACUCCUGUCACUGGAGACACGCAAGAGCAAGGACGGGAAUUGUUCCAGCAGAUGUGCCCUGAACCCCCGUUUGAAGGACAAUCAGCAGGAUGUCUUCUUUCACCCAAGCACAGAACCAAACGACAAUGAAAGAAACAGAACCAAGUGGAAGAGACGAAAUCAAGCAGUUCAAAGCUUAUCGGUAGGAAAUGAAGAUAUGCGCCACAGACACACAAAGAUGAGAUGCAGUGCUUCACUCGAGACCAGCCCUAGGCCUAGAGAUAGACCCACCCACAGCAACGUUUUAUGGGGGUUUGAAAAGAAAAACUAACUUCUUUUAAAAAUAGAGGAGUUUGGACAGAAACAUAGAAGAGAAGGCCAUUGGGAGACAGAGGCAAAUACUGCAGCGACGCAGCCACAAGUUCGGCAGCGCCUAGAACCACCAGAAGCUAAAAAAGACAAGGAAGGGUCAACCCCUCUCCCUAGAGCCUUCAGAGAAGUGUGUGUCUCCACCAACACCUUGAUUUUGGACUCUGGGCUCCAGAAAUGUAAGAAGACCAAUGUCUAUUGCUUUAAGUCAAAAAAAAAGGAGGGGUGGGGAGUAGUUUUUAUCUUUGUAGAUCCCAAUUUACUCACUCAUUCAUCCAAUACAGUUGGUUGAUUGCCUGUAUGUGCCAGUCAGGACUGAGGAUGCAGGGUGAGUGAGUCAGGCUCCCGGCCGCAUCAGCUGCUCCCAUUGGACAGAGGAGAGAUGGAAACGACCACAGGCCAGUGGCAUGAAUUCUUUGACAACACAGUGACCAGGGCUGCUGGACUGAACUCAGAAUGCAAUCGCUCUAGUGUGACAUAUCCAUUUUAAUCUGUAUAGCAAUUGAACAGUUCUUUCUCAGUCACUGAAGCAAACCAACAGAUGGUUAUUUAAUUGUUUGUAAAACCAAACAUUAACUACUGGUCUUGGUAAUAUAUCUCUUCUGCUACGGGUCAGAAAACAGAUCUCAGACAACAGUCUGGAAGAUGCUAAAAAAACAUCCAAAGUCAAAAUGUGGAAACUAAGAUUUCAGUUUUGUUGUU